rnacentral:rRNA from 1 species
UACGUAGGGGGCAAGCGUUAUCCGGAAUUAUUAGGCGUAAAGCGCACGUAGGCGGUUUUGUAAGUCUGAUGUGAAAGCCCAGGGCUCAACCACCGAAAAGCAUUGGAAACUGGAAAACUUGAGUGCAGGAGAGGAAAGUGGAAUUCCUAGUGUAGUGGUGAAAUGCGUAGAUAUUAGGAGGAACACCAGUGGCGAAGGCGACUGACUGGACUGUAACUGACGCUGAGGUGCGAAAGCGUGGGGAGCAAACAGG